rnacentral:rRNA from 1 species
AUUGAACGCUGGCGGCAUGCCUUACACAUGCAAGUCGAACGGCAGCACGGGGGCAACCCUGGUGGCGAGUGGCGAACGGGUGAGUAAUGCAUCGGAACGUACCCGGAAGUGGGGGAUAACGUAGCGAAAGUUACGCUAAUACCGCAUAUUCUGUGAGCAGGAAAGUGGGGGACCGCAAGGCCUCACGCUUUCGGAGCGGCCGAUGUCGGAUUAGCUAGUUGGCGGGGUAAAGGCCCACCAAGGCGACGAUCCGUAGCGGGUCUGAGAGGAUGAUCCGCCACACUGGGACUGAGACACGGCCCAGACUCCUACGGGAGGCAGCAGUGGGGAAUUUUGGACAAUGGGCGCAAGCCUGAUCCAGCCAUGCCGCGUGAGUGAAGAAGGCCUUCGGGUUGUAAAGCUCUUUCGGCGGGGAAGAAAUUGCUUAGGUUAAUACCUUGAGUAGAUGACGGUACCCGCAUAAGAAGCACCGGCUAACUACGUGCCAGCAGCCGCCGCAGUAA